UAAAGCCGCAGCUGCGGCGGCCGGCUUUCUGGGUGCCGGUGGGGGUGGGGUGGGGGGUGCGGGGUGGCUACGACACCAGUCCCUCACCCCCUUACACUGCCCUCUGCCCCCUUGGCUUGACCACCGCGAUCUUGCUGUCGCUUACCUAGCUCUCCUCCUGGUCAACCCCAGGCUAUCUGGAGAGAUGAGAAAAGUGUGGUGAUGCGGACAAAGUCGGAUUUUCCGCGAGCGGGCGAGGUGCUGUCCCCUCACGCUGUCCACCUGCAGCGCCAGGCUCCAGACUGGCCCGGAGUCAGCAUCAGUGACGUACACACCUAAAUCUGGUCCACCGGCCCUCAGCGACCCGCGGGCCGGCGGUG
rnacentral:lncRNA from 1 species